CCUUUCUUCACUGUAUUCACUGCUCCCAAUGACGAAACUCCGGAACUAGUACCUUCACCAUCGUGUCAUGACUUGAUUCUUGAAUCAGUGGUGAUUUAUUUUUUGCUUUUCGCACUUUCCUGGGCGAUCCAUGAUGUUGGACGGAUGAUCGUUCGUCUUGCAUUGCGUCUUAUAUACAUUUAUUUAUGAAAUUUCUUGUUCGACGUAAGAUUGCCGUUUUAGGCGAUCGGGUUUUCUUCCGUAUCAAAUUAGUUAUUAUAAUUUCUUUCUUUUUCUGGCGUUACGCGCGUCCUCCAUCCAUUUAAUAAUGUACCAAUGUUUUUCGCCAAUCGAUGGCUUUUCAUCUUCCUUAUGCUCUUGUUCCACCUUUUUUUGUUGGUCCUCCAUGUCUGCAGGUUUACUCAUGGUGAUGAACUGUUGAUCGUUCGUGUUUUGUUGCGUCUUAUAUACAUUUAUUUAUGAAAUUUCUUGUUCGACGUAAGAUUGCCGUUUUAGGCGUGCGGGUUUUCUUCCGUAUCAAUUAGUUAUUAUGUUUUUUUUCUUUAUCUGGCGUUGCGCGCGUCUUCCAGCUAUUUAAUUAUGUACCAAUGUUUUUCGGCAAUCGAUGGAUUUUCA